UACUAGAUACUCCUGUGACAUAUACUCUGCCAUCUCCCCAGCAUACCAUGCAUUCAAUACCCACCCUGAUGGUAAAGCCUUGUAUUCUGGAUGUGAAUCUUCAGUCCACAGAGUCAUAACUGUCAUCACAAAUUCUGGAGCUGUUUAUCCAAAUGUGUGGUUAUAGUUUAACCUCUGCUCGGCACAGCCAUAGCAGUAAGUCCUGAUUUGCUGAUCUUCAACUCUGUGAUCAUGAUCUUUUUUACUUCACAAAAGUGGCUAUAGUUUAACCUCUGCUCGGCACAGCCAUAGCAGUAAGUCCUGAUUUGCUGAUCUUCAACUCUGUGAUCAU
rnacentral:lncRNA from 1 species